GUCGCAUCAAUGAGCGAGAGACCUGCCUUAAGAAAAAUGAAACCAAAGGAAGAAAGUAUGUUAUGUAGGCAUGGCAUAGAUGUUAAAGACAAAACCUAAGGGGUUAUUCGAAUAUGCCACAAGAAUGACCGAAAAAGCUGUCUUAAAGGAAAUGCAACCGAAAAAAAGAACUACGUUAUAUAGGUAUGACGCAGAUGUUCCAGACAAAGUCUGAGCAAAAAAGCUGUCUAAAAGGAAAUGCAACCGAAUAAAAGAAGUACGUUUUGUAGGUAUGACGCAGAUGUUCCAGACAAAGUCCUAAAGCAGGAAUAAGAAUCUCAAUUGGAAGUCUUGAGUAUUGUGAGAGAGCUUUCUUAAGGAAAACACAGCCCAAAGAAUAAGGCUUUGGGUAUAAAAGAAAUCUAAAAAAUUAUUUACC